AUUAUAUCCCAAAUUUUCGCGCUCUCAUCAUCACUCUUUGCGACACUUCAAUUCCUCGCAUUGUUAUGUUAUAUCUGAAUCUGUGUUUUAACAUUGACUCAGUAACCUGCAUAGGGUCUCUUCCUCUGUGUCUAGUGUUUUAGGAGUUUGAAGCAUCAUCAUGGCUUCGGUGGACCCCGAGAUCGCGAAGACGCGGGAAGAGCAGAAGCGAAUGGAGCAGCAACUGGCUUCGCUCACCUCCGUCACGUUUGACACCGAUCUCUACGGCGGAAGCGACUAGGGCUCCUAUCUCACUUCCAUCCCUGCCAACAAAGAUGACGAGAAUCUCGACGCCAUGGACAACGAGGUCGCACACAAACUGGCUUCUUACACCGCCCCCUAAGUCGCUUCUCAAGUACAUGCCCUCCGCCCCCGACUCUGACAACGACAUCGGCUUCCGCAAGCCGCAGCGCAUCAUCGAUCGCGACGACGACUAUCGCCGCCGUCGCCUCAACCAGAUCAUCUCGCCGGCGAGAAGACCCCGGACCCUUCGGUGAGGACCUACGCGGAUAUCAUGCGCGAGGAGGCUCUCAAGAGGGAGAAGGAGGAGACUCUGAAGGCCAUCGCUAUGAAGAAGAAGGAGGAGGAGGAGGCCGCCAAGGGCGCGCCGCCUCAACAGCAGCAGAAAAGGAGGAACCGCUGGGACCAAUCUCAGGAUGACGGUGGUGGCGCCAUGGCCGCGAAGAAGGCGAAAACAUCUGAUUGCCGCUAAGAUCCUUUUCCGCGACCCCCCUAAGAAGAGGAAGUUUGGGUAUCCCUUUUCCUUCCCACUAACUAGGUUUACUUAUUCACCUGUCGCUCUCUUUCGCAUUUCGUCGAGCACCUUCGCUGCACUUAAUAUGUCCACUUCACUACCUCUCUUUGGAUCUGUUUUUUACUACCACAUUUGGAGUUUCAAGCUGCAUGUAGAUACUCCAAAAAACCUGUUCUUUUUUUCUCAAAUUAAAAAAUGUCUGCAGUUGUCCUUUUGCAUUUGGGUUAAUAUCAUGGACAAACAAUUCAGAGAGGCAUAUUCAAGUUCUGCAAAGCAUUGGGAUUGACCCGGGCUCCAAGCAUGCAACUGAACAAAGUGAGGGACUGGAACAUGAGAUAAAGCAAGUGAGAGAAUCUCUCAUCUCUGCUUAUGAGAAGAAUAUAGCUACAAGGCUGAAAGUUGAGGUUUGCAGGCUGGAAGCUAACAACUACAAUAUCACAAAAGAUGCUUGUGCAACUGCCUACAUAUCCAGUAGCAAUGUUCCUUGGUGAUAGUGAUAGUGAUGGAGAAGGGAUGAGGUCUUGUACUGUAUUUCAAAGUUUCAGAGACUCUUGAUGAACACAUUUCUCCCCAGUUCUAGGAAAGCAUUAUGGAAUGAAAGAGAGGUCCAUAAAGGAAAAUUUUUCUAUCGAAUUUAUAAUUUAGUAUUAAAAAGAGUCGGUUCAUUGAGAAUUUGAGUUAAUUGAUAAAUUCGUAGAUAUAGUUCUUCAAAUAUAUUAGCGGUGUGGUGUGACCAAUAUGCUAUUAUUAGUUUUAUAGCAUCAAUGCAAAAUGUGAGGGCCAUCAAGGCGAUGCUGAGGAGUUUGGAGAUGGUUUCAGGUUUAAAAAUAAAUUUUGCAAAAAGUCAAUGCUGCCUCAUACCUUAACUGCAGUUUGUUGACCUACUUGGGUAUCCCCAUUGAGGCAAAUCCAAAAAGUAGUGUGCCUUGGGAUCUUAUUGUUAAAAAAUGUGAGCAUAGAUUGGCAAAGUGGAAACAAAAGCAACUAUCCUUUGUGGGAAGGGUGACUUUGAUAAAGUCAGUCCUGAACACAAUUCCUAUCUAUUUUCUUUCAUUUUUCAAGAUCCUGAAAAAGGUGGUACACAAGCUGGUGAAACUACAACGAUGGUUCUUGUGGGGAGGAGAUACAGAACACAAGAAGAUUGCUUGGGUAAGCAAUGGAUCAGCAUGUCUGUCGAAAGAAAAAGGUGGUCUGGGAAUUUUUGAGAUUUGACCAAGUUUAAUCAGGCUCUUCUUGGAAAAUGGAAGUGGAAUUUGUUUUAUCAUCAAGGAGAAUUAUGGGCUAGAGUGCUGGAUUCAAAAUAUGGAGGGUAAAGGAACUUGGAUGAGAACAGAAGGGUCUUAGCAGCAUUUGCAUGGUGGUCUGAUCUCAAUUAUAUCUGCCACAACUCCGAGGAGGAAAGCUGGUUCAAAUCUAGAAUAAAAUGGAGUGUGGGCUCUGGCUCCAAGGCUAGGUUUUUAGGAAGAUGGGUGGAUGGAUGAUGGGAUCCCCCUAAUGGUAAAAUAUCCUAGACCUUACCUGAUCUCAAACCAAAAAAACCAGCACAUUCAGCAGAUGGUAUGUAGUUCAGCUGCAACCUGAGUGGUGCUUGCAAUGGAGGAGGUUACUUUUUGAGGUUGAGAUACCUAUGGGGGACUGCUUUUUGGAGGAAAUUUAACAUCUCAACACAAAUGAGCAGCAACAAGAUAGGUGGGUGUGGCUAAGCGACUCAACUGGGGUAUAUACUAUAAGCAGUGCAUAUCAACUGCUUGACAGGGAAUCAAGAGAUGAGAAUAUAGAUGAGGUAUUUCAAGACGUAUGGAAACUAAAAAUACCAAGUAAAGCUGCGUUUUUUGCUUGGAGAUUAAUCUAUGAUAGACUGUCCACUAAAUCUAAUUUGUCUAGAAGGAAUGUGGGCAUCACUGACAAAUUAUGUCCAUUCUUCUCUCAAGUUUAGGAUUAAUGGUGUGAUUGGACCCACAAAAUUUUUACCAUAUAAGACAGACAUGGGCAUAUAUAUAUCAAUCGACAAUAAAACCACAUUUUAGCUUCA